UACUACAAAAACUAGAACAAUUUUCUCAGCUCCCAAACAGAGGGCAAGCCCAUGGAAGUUGUCGAUCAUUUCAGUUCAUGAAUUUUACUUUUACUAAUAUACCUCACUGAAAGGUUCCUACCCAGUGGGGUUUUCAUUUUUCAAAGCAAAAAGUUGGCUGACGUGUCUGAUUCUAUUCUCCUAUCUUUUAUUUAUUCUCCCAUACUUCAUAUUCAUGAGUCAUGAACUUAGUUUUGAUUGCCUAGCUAAGACAGUAGCUUCUAACUAACUAAGUAAUAUUGGGUUCCAAUUUUCCAUACAAUUCAUCCAUGACCAGUUUGGCUCAUUCGCCUAUCCUGGUGGUUCUCUUUGUGUUGAAAAAACAUCCAGACCUUACAGGUGGUGAUCUCAGGUUCGAGGACACCUCAAAGUCAACCAUCAAUCCUCACAUAAUAAUAAGAGGCCAUUCCUUGAUUCCAACAGAAAUCCCCUAAUUCCCAUCUACUGUUACCAUAAUGGGUUGUGGCAAGGCUUCAAGGCCGGUGAAGACGAUCAAAAGUAGUGUUUAUUCAGAGUGUAGAGGACGGUGAACAAGCUCACCAGAACAGAGUUAGAGGUAUUUCUUGUUGGUGAGAAUGGGGAAGACUCAGCCUUUACGUUAAAGGUGAAAGGUUGUUCUUUCCAGAAGUCCUGCACUAUCUACAGAGGAAAUGAUAUUGUGGCUCAGUGCUGUUCUUGGUGGUUCAAAAGAAGGCGAUGAAACUACUUUUGUGUCCAGAAAUACAUUGAUCUUGAUAUUUGAGGAGGUUUUCAGAAAGUUACUCAGUUUUGUUCUGGAGUCCUCUUUGACUUGGGUAGUUGGGUUAGGGAUGCAGUUUCUCUGGUAGCUGCUGGGGUAAAGAAUUUUGGGAUGGAAUUGGAAAGCUCUUUGAACAUGUGUGAAAUGGCUCUGUUUGCUCUUGAAGUACUUGAUGGUAGCUUCUUUUGCUUGAAGACGCUUGGCGAGGAAAAUGGACUAGUUACAGGUAUUUUAGCUGCAACAUUUAUUACUGACUGGGAGUUUAGCAUAGGAACAGCAAUAGGGGAUGCAAUUGAUGAUGAAUCCGGGAAAAGAAUUAAGGCUAGGUUGGAUUUUGGUGAAUCAGUGCAUGCGUUUCAUUGUAAGAUAAGUAAUCACUUCUGGAAAAGCCUCAGCAUAAACCAUAGGAUGAGAAUAGGAAUUAUCUUGACUCAGUCUAUUCGUUCCGCUGUUUUCAAUGAAGAUAGACUAAAUGCCGAUAAAAUCACAUCUUUGUGCUGCCUGUGGAUGAUUGAAGUUCUUCAACGUCUUUGUCAAUAUCAAGAUGAGGAACAAAAUCUCAUGGAUCAGCUUCUAAGCAAGAAUGAUACUUGGCCAUUGUGGACUUUAACACCUCAAAGGGAAUAGCUGCAUUGGAUGUCGAGAAUGCAACCAUUGAUAUUCAUGCCUCUGGGAGUAACAAGUUUGUUUCUUUCAUCAACAAACUAAUCUUGGAAAUUGGUGUAGACACAGUCGUUGGUUUUGUUAAACAUGAUCCUUCUCCACCUGAGGAAGCAGCCAAUGAAGAGGAUACUGCUCGAGCCUGGCUUGCUGCUGAAAUAUUGUGCACAUGGAAAUGGCCGGGAGGCAGUGCUGUAGCUUGUUUCUUGCCUUUGCUGAGUUCAUAUGCCAAAAGUAGAACUUAUUGUUUCCAGGAAAUCUUCUUGGAUUCCAUUUUCAAUAUAUUACUUGAUGGUGCUCUUGUUUAUGGAGGAAGAAGCGCACAUAGUUUGUCUGUUGUGUGGCCUGCUUCAGAUGAUGUAGUCAAGGUUAUUGAAGAACCCUUCUUGAGAGCUCUUGUAUCUCUUCUUUUUACUUUGGUCAAAGAUGAUAUAUGGGAAACAAAGAAAGCUAUGAUAGUGUUUGAAUUGCUUGUAAAUAAGCUUUUUCUUGGCGAAGCAAUAAACAGAAACUGUUUGAGAAUUCUUCCUCCUCUUGUGAAUAUUCUUGUACGAUCAUUAUGUAGAAGAAGCAUUGCAUCUGGUGAAACUGGUAGAGAUGCUAAUCUUGAUUCUUUAGAGGAAAAUCAUAUGCAGGAAGCUAUUGAAGGCUGGCUCCAAAGACUUCUAUUGUUCCCACCUUUGAUUUUAUGGCAAACAGGAGAAGAUAUGGAAGAAUGGUUAUGGUUGGUUAUAUCUUGUUACCCUUUAAGUACAAUGGGAGGUAUACAAGCAUUGAAGCCAGAGAGAAACAUAAGCGCUAUUGAGAGAACACUCUUGCUUGAAUUAUUUCGAAAGCAGAGACAUGUUGCUGGUGUAACUGCUGCAGCUAAUCAGCUGCCAGUGGUGCAGAUGUUGCUAUCAAAGCUAUUAGUUAUUUCACUUGGUUAUUGCUGGAAGGAAUUUAAUGAAGAAGAUUGGGAGUUUUUGUUGUCAAAUAUAAGGCAUUGGAUUCAAUCAGCAGUUGUAAUGAUGGAGGAAGUUGCUGAAAGUGUGAAUGAUGCUAUCACUAGCAUGUCUACUUCUGAUAAUUUGGAAAUUUUUUCUCAAAACCUCAAGCAAAUUGUUAUGGUUUCAGAUUCGUUUCCUAUAGAUAUUGCUACAAAUGCCCUCCUAUCAUUUUCUCUGUUUUCUGGGCCUCUUAUACUCCAACAAGCAGAAGAUGCAAAUAAUGUAAAUCCCUUGAGAACAGAAAGAUGGGAUCCCAUCAAAGAUCGGAUUCUAGAAGGUAUUCUUCGCAUAUUUUUUUGCACUGGAAUUGCUGAGGCUAUUGCAAGUUCCUGUUGUCAUGAGGCUGCAUCUAUUGUAGCAUCUUUUCGACUUGAACAUCCCUACUUCUGGGAGUUAAUAGCUUCAAGUGUUGUUAAUUCUUCGACACAUGUUCGAGAAAGAGCAGUAAAGUCAGUUGAAUUUUGGGGGCUAAGCAAAGGGCCCUUUAGCUCUUUGUAUGCCAUCCUUUUUUCCUCCAGACAAGUUCAUUCGUUGCAGUUGGCCGCUUAUUUUAUGCUUUCAACUGAACCUGUGUCACAUUUAGCCAUCAUUGGAGAAGAUACUGCAUCUUACCUGGUUGGUGAUACUACAAGUGACCAGGAUCCAAGCCGUUUGGAUUUGUCAUCAGAACAAAGAAUCCAUUUGAGGGAGGAAAUAUCUUGCAUGAUUGUGAAGUUACCUUAUGAGGUUCUUGAAAUGGAUUUGGUGGCACCACAACGGGUAAAUAUCUUCCUUGCUUGGUCCUUGUUACUAUCACAUUUAUGGUCGUUACCAUCUUCAUCAUCUGCAAGGGAGAGAUUGGUCCAGUAUAUACAAGAUUCUGCAAAUUCAGUGAUUCUAGUUUGCCUUUUCCAGCAUAUCCCUGUAGAACUGUUCAUGGCACAUAGUCUGAAGAAGAAAGACACAGAGCUUCCUCCUGAGAUAGCAGAAGUUGCGAGUGCAGCCACACGUGCCAUUAAAACUGGUUCAUUGUUGUUCUCAGUGGAAUCUCUUUGGCCUCUUGAAGAAGUGAAAAUAGCUUCGCUUGCUGGAGCAAUAUUUGGUUUGAUGCUUUGUGUUCUUCCUGCUUUUGUUCGAGGGUGGUUUACCGAUUUACGUGACCGUUCUACAUCAACUGUAAUUGAAUCUUUUACAAGAGCAUGGUGCAGUCCUGCUCUCAUUGCAAACGAAUUAUCCCAGAUUAAGAAAGCCGAAUUUGCUGAUGAGAAUUUUUCAGUUAGUGUAAGUAAAUCAGCAAAUGAGGUUGUUGCAACCUAUACAAAGGAUGAAACAGGAAUGGAUCUAGUCAUUCGUCUUCCUGCAUCUUACCCAUUACGCCCUGUGGAUGUUGAUUGUACGAGGAGCCUAGGAAUCAGUGAAGUGAAGCAGAGAAAGUGGUUAAUGUCUAUGAUGUCAUUUGUCCGUAGUCAGAAUGGAGCUUUAGCAGAAGCUAUCAGAAUUUGGAAGAACAACUUUGACAAAGAAUUUGAAGGUGUCGAGGAGUGUCCUAUCUGUUACAGUGUCAUCCACACUGCCAACCACAGCCUUCCUCGCCUUGCUUGCAAGACUUGCAAGCACAAGUUCCAUUCAGCCUGUCUCUAUAAGUGGUUCUCAACUUCUCACAAAUCAUCUUGCCCCCUGUGCCAGUCUCCAUUCUGACCUAGUGAUCAACCUGGAAUCAGUCUCAAUGAAUUUUUCUUGUUUGAUUGCACCGUAUAUCAUUUAGCCAAAAGAAGUGGUUGAUGGUAUAAUUGAAGAGUAGAAGCAUACAUCCAGAGAACAUAGCUGUUAAUUUCUUCUGCAAAAUAACUCAAAUGCAUAAGCCAAUACUCCUAUUCUGGGCAGUGUUUUUUAUAGUCCUUUGCUCUUUGCAAACCCCAGACUCGUUUAGUGGAUGAAAGGGACAGCAUAGGUGUAGAGGAAAAAUUUGUAAGCUCCUCUCUCUCUCUCUCUUUCUCUCUGAGUCCAAUAUUCUUGUGAUCCAAGAAUUAAUGAUCAUGCCUUUUGUUUUGUUCGGUGCUGGUAGCUAAAGCUUCCUUUGAGAUCAUAGAUGAGAUGCAUUACACUGCGGCCAAAUCAAAAUCGUAAAAUCUUUUUGAAAAUGUUCUCAACCCUCAAUGAGUUCUAAUGAAGUUGAACGUUGUCUCCAAGUAACUACAUACUUCUAUUUAGGUUUUGAAUGUUGGUUAUUAGCUCAUGCACAUAUGCAGAGAAAUAUACCCAGAAUUUUGGGUACAUUAUAUAUGUAAAUAGAUCUAGUUUAUGAAGUCCCAAUUUUGUUUCCCUUUUAGAAUCUCAGUAAUGUUGAAAGGGUUGAAACAUAGUGAUAUGCAAUCUUGUUUGUUUUAUAA